rnacentral:tRNA from 1 species
GCAGACCUGGCCGAGCGGCUAGGCGGCGCCCUUCCAAGGCGUGCAGGCGGGCUCAACUCCCGCGGCCUGCUCCA